rfam:Heterocephalus glaber contig211857, whole genome shotgun sequence.
CCUUCGAUAGCUCAGUUGGUAGAGCGGAGGACUGUAGCUACAACCUCCGGCAGGAGAAAUCCUUAGGUCGCUGGUUCGACUCCGGCUCGAAGGA